ensembl:snoRNA SNORD73 Small nucleolar RNA SNORD73
AGCAUGUGAUGACAAACUGUUUCGGUCCCAUAUGAUGGCCUGAUUACUUUUCAUGAGAUCAGCUGACGUU